rnacentral:rRNA from 1 species
CCGAAUUCUUCGCCAACAGAGUUUGAUCCUGGCUCAGAUUGAACGCUGGCGGCAUGCCUUACUCAUGCAAGUCGAACGGCAGCACGGGAGCAAUCCUGGUGGCGAGUGGCGAACGGGUGAGUAAUACAUCGGAACGUGCCCAAUCGUGGGGGAUAACGCAGCGAAAGCUGUGCUAAUACCGCAUGAGAUCUACGGAUGAAAGCAGGGGACCUUCGGGCCUUGCGCGAAUGGAGCGGCCGAUGGCAGAUUAGGUAGUUGGUGGGGUAAAGGCCUACCAAGCCUGCGAUCCGUAGCUGGUCUGAGAGGACGACCAGCCACACUGGGACUGAGACACGGCCCAGACUCCUACGGGAGGCAGCAGUGGGGAAUUUUGGACAAUGGGCGCAAGCCUGAUCCAGCCAUGCCGCGUGCAGGAUGAAGGCCUUCGGGUUGUAAACUGCUUUUGUACGGAACGAAAAGGCUCUUUCUAAUAAAGAGGGCUCAUGACGGUACCGUAAGAAUAAGCACGGGCUAACUACGUGCCAGCAGCCGCGGUAAUACGUAGG